rnacentral:sRNA from 1 species
GUUCCGAAAACAGAACAGACUUUUGAAGAGCGCCUGAUCCUCAAAGCUUUCUUGCUCAAGUUUGUCAAUGCCUACUCCCCCAUCUUCUAUGUGGCCUUUUUCAAGGGGAGGUUUGUGGGCAGGCCUGGAAGCUACGUCUAUGUAUUCGACGGUUACCGCAUGGAAGAGUGUGCUCCAGGGGGCUGUCUCAUGGAGCUCUGCAUUCAGCUCAGCAUCAUCAUGUUGGGGAAGCAGUUGAUCCAGAACAACAUCUUUGAGAUUGGAGUCCCAUGACACUUGUUCUCUAGGAGCUUACCAUCUUAGAGAGACAUCAUUUGUUAUGGAAAAACAACCAGAGAAUAUACAGAUGGUACCAAAGCCACAUCUGGCCCCUUUGAAACCAUGAGGCCAGCUCCUCCACAACUGCUAUAAAGAAAAGUCUUCAUCCUAAUUAAACAUCUGGGAAAAACACCAGCCUUCCCAGUACAUUGUUAUUUUGCUGUGAGUAGAAUUAUUUACAGCUUGUGGGCAUGGAAUGCCCAUUUUUUCAUCCCUGGUCAUCUGAUCUACAGCUUAGCCCAUUCUCUCUGGACCCAGAAGGCUUUUGUAGAAUACAAGAGAGGCAAGAACUCGGGCAUGUGUUUGGACAACACGUUGGCAUGUCUCCACCCCUCAACUCCAUCCACCCCAUAACAGGUGAAAAUAGCACAUGGCGUAUGCCUUGAAGGCUAAA